rnacentral:rRNA from 1 species
UACGUAGGGGGCUAGCGUUGUCCGGAAUCAUUGGGCGUAAAGCGCGUGUAGGCGGUUCGGUAAGUCCGCUGUGAAAGUCGGGGGCUCAACCCUCGGAAGCCGGUGGAUACUGUCGGGCUAGAGUACGGAAGAGGCGAGUGGAAUUCCUGGUGUAGCGGUGAAAUGCGCAGAUAUCAGGAGGAACACCAAUUGCGAAGGCAGCUCGCUGGGACGUUACUGACGCUGAGACGCGAAAGCGUGGGUAGCAAACAGG